AGUGAACGCUGGCGGUAGGCCUAACACAUGCAAGUCGAACGGCAGCACAGUAAGAGCUUGCUCUUACGGGUGGCGAGUGGCGGACGGGUGAGGAAUACAUCGGAAUCUACUUUUUCGUGGGGGAUAACGUAGGGAAACUUACGCUAAUACCGCAUACGACCUACGGGUGAAAGCAGGGGAUCUUCGGACCUUGCGCGAUUGAAUGAGCCGAUGUCGGAUUAGCUAGUUGGCGGGGUAAAGGCCCACCAAGGCGACGAACCGGAGCUGGUCUGAGAGGAUGAUCAACCACACUGGAACUGAGACACGCUCCAGACUCCUACGGGGGGCAGCAGUGGGGAAUAUUGAACAAAGGGCGCAAGCCUGCUGCAGCCAUACCGCGUGGGUGAAGAAGGCCUUCGGGUUGUAAAGCCCUUUUGUUGGGAAAGAAAAGCAGCAGGUUAAUACCCCGCUGUUCGGACGGGACCCAAAGAAUAAGCACCGGCUAACUUCGU
rnacentral:rRNA from 1 species